ACGUAUCUAAUCUACCUUUUAGUGGGGGAUAGCCUUUGGAAACGAAGGGUAAUACCGCAUGAGACCACCAUUAUGACAUCAGAAGGUGAGGAAAGGACCGUUUGGUUCGCUAAAAGAUGAGGAUGCGGCGUAUUAGCUAGUAGGCGGGAUAAAAGCCCACCUAGGCGAUGAUACGUAGCCGAACUGAGAGGUUGAUCGGCCACAUUGGGACUGAGAUACGGCCCAGACUCCUACGGGAGGCAGCAGUAGGGAAUUUUUCACAAUGGACGAAAGUCUGAUGAAGCAAUGCCGCGUGAGUGAUGAAGGUCUUCGGAUUGUAAAANUNUGUUGUAAGGGAAGAAAUGACAGGAUAGGAAAUGAUCUUGUUUUGACGGUACCUUACCAGAAAGCCACGGCUAACUAUGUGCCAGCAGCCGCGGUAAUACAUAGGUGGCAAGCGUUAUCCGGAUUUAUUGGGCGUACAGGGUGCGUAGGCGGUUGUGUAAGUUUAAGGUUAAAAUCCGGGGCUCAACCCCGGUCCGCCUUAAAAACUACAUGACUAGAAUGCAAGAGAGGUAAAUGGAAUUCCAUGUGUAGCGGUAAAAUGCGUAGAUAUAUGGAAGAACACCUGUGGCGAAAGCGGUUUACCAGCUUGUUAUUGACGCUGANGCACGAAAGCGUGGGGAGCAAAUAGGAUUAGAUACCCUAGUAGUCCACGCCGUAAACGUUGAGUACUANGUGUCGGGGNNUACCUCGGCGCCGCAGCUAACGCAUUAAGUACUCCGCCUGAGUAGUAUGCACGCNAGUGUGAAACUCAAAGGAAUUGACGGGGACCCGCACAAGUGG
rnacentral:rRNA from 1 species